CACAAUAAUUACAUAACACUCUUAAAUUACUAAUAUUUUACUUUUUUUAGAAAUGUACCCUUUUUUAAUUUUAAAAUAAUUACAACCACUAAAAAUUAUCACAUAACACUAAACUACUAACAUUUUAAUCUUAAAAUAAUUAUAAAAAAAUUACUAACAUUUUUUUCUUCUUCCUCCUUCUUCUUCUUUUUCUUCUUCUUCUUCUUUUUCUUCUUCUUCUUCAUCUUCUUCUUCUUCUUUUCUCUCUUUGCUGCUGCCUUUACAAAAUUGGGGGACCGGUGCUUAUAUG
rnacentral:lncRNA from 1 species